rnacentral:rRNA from 1 species
CACUGACAUAAAGUGUUAAAUAGCCGCGGUAUCUUGACCGUGCAAAGGUAGCAUAAUCAUUAGUUUCUUAAUUGGGAACUUGUAUGAAUGGUUGGACAAAGAAAAAUCUGUCUCUUGCACUGAAAUUGAAUUUAACUUCUAAGUGAAAAGGCUUAGAUUAUCCAGAGGGACGAUAAGACCCUAUAAAGCUUUAUAAAUUUAUUAAUUUCGUUUAUUUUUUAUUAUAAUAAUGAUGAUAAGAGAAUUUAUUUGGUUGGGGCAACCGAAGUAUAAUUUUAAAUAACUGCUAUAAUUUAAUACAAUGAUUUUUGUCUUAUACAAUAAUUGAUCCUCAAAGAGAUUAAAGACCAAGUUACUUUAGGGAUAACAGCGUAAUUUAUCCUGAGAGUUCUUAUCAAAGGAAAAGUUUGCGACCUCGAUGUUGAAUUAAAAUGUCUACCUAGUGCAGCAGCUAGGAAAGAAGGUCUGUUCGACCUUUAAUUUUUUACAUGAUCUGA